AAGCUGCAGGAUCAGGCUCUCGGAGUUUCACUCCCUCAAAGGCAGGGGAUGUUCCUUACGGCAGCGCACGUCUCGCCUGUGAGCCCAAACCCGCAUCCGCAGCUCCCGCUGCCGGGAAAGGGACAGGUUUUCUCCCUGCUGACGCUCGCCCGCGCCCGAGCCGAAUGCUAACAGGUCUCUUACUUGCGUCUCGCCUCGCCACCGCCUCAUGCUCUACAGGGGAAUAUUGUGUUCCCCGAGCGGACGAGCCGUCCGGCCAUCGCUCCGCGAUGAUUCAGCAAGGGGGUGGCUCCCCGUCGGAAGGCACACCUACCGCGAACUGUCAUACCACGGGGCUGGCUGAAAAGGGGAGAAGUUGCUCUAGCUAUCAUGGCUGCACUUUCUGAAAUGCGUAGACCUGGCCUGGUAAGGUCGAGGCAGACUCCAGUGCGGUGGCAAGAAUGAACAAAUGCGCAUGUCUUCAUAAGAGUCAAAAAAAAAAAGAAAGGGGGGGAAUAAGAUGCCCCCUCCCGUCGGGCUCCUCUGGCGGCCGCGGCGGCAGGGCAGCCCCCGGGACUCCCUGCCGCUUUCGCACCAGCAAAAGUCCGCUCGCAGCCUGCCCUGAGCAGGCGCUUCGCAACGCUGCGAGGCGUUCGCGGCUCAGGCAGCGCCUGCAACACUUUCCGGAUGCAAAAAAGAUUAGUUUUGCUGCGUA